AUAUAUAAAAAUCUUGAAAACUAAUGGAGAAAUCAAAUACACGCAAACUAUGAACCACAGAAGAAACGAAGUGUUUUCUAGAGUGUUACUUGACAUGAAAGCAAGGAUUUUUGAAAACAAGAAAAAAAAACUUGGAUACCAACAAGUGCUUGAGGACAUAAUAGCACAUGGAAUUGUAAUGACUCCACUCCAGUCUGCCUAGGAAGAAGAAUGUGCAUUAAAAGUGGCCAAA